rnacentral:rRNA from 1 species
UACGGAGGGUGCAAGCGUUAUCCGGAAUUACUGGGCGUAAAGCGCACGCAGGCGGUUUGUUAAGUCAGUGGUGAAAUCCCCGGGCUCAACUUGGGAACUGCAUUUGAUACUGGCAAGCUUGAGUCUCGUAGAGGGGGGUAGAAUUCCAGGUGUAGCGGUGAAAUGCGUAGAGAUCUGGAGGAAUACCGGUGGCGAAGGCGGCCCCCUGGCCGUAGACUGACGCUGAGGUGCGAAAGCGUGGGGAGCAAACAGG